rnacentral:misc_RNA from 1 species
AAGUCGUAACAAGGUUUCCGUAGGUGAACCUGCGGAAGGAUCAUUAAAGAUUUGGCCUCUGGCCUUUUCAAUCCAAACCUCUGUGAACUGUGGCCCUCGGGCCGAUUUUAAACAUUGUGUAAUGAAUGUAAUAUUAUUGUAACAAAUAAAACUUUUAACAACGGAUCUCUUGGCUCUG